rnacentral:rRNA from 1 species
GGAUAACUUACCCUUAGGACUGGGAUAACUCUGGGAAACUGGGGAUAAUACUGGAUAUUAGGCUAUGCCUGGAAUGGUUUGCCUUUGAAAUGUUUUUUUUCGCCUAAGGAUAGGUCUGCGGCUGAUUAGGUCGUUGGUGGGGUAAUGGCCCACCAAGCCGAUGAUCGGUACGGGUUGUGAGAGCAAGGGCCCGGAGAUGGAACCUGAGACAAGGUUUCAGACCCUACGGGGUGCAGCAGGCGCGAAACCUCCGCAAUGUACGAAAGUGCGACGGGGGGAUCCCAAGUGUUAUGCUUUUUUGUAUGACUUUUCAUUAGUGUAAAAAGCUUUUAGAAUAAGAGCUGGGCAAGACCGGUGCCAGCCGCCGCGGUAACACCGGCAGCUCGAGUGGUAGCUGUUUUUAUUGGGCCUAAAGCGUUCGUAGCCGGUUUGAUAAGUCUUUGGUGAAAGCUUGUAGCUUAACUAUAAGAAUUGCUGGAGAUACUAUUAGACUUGAAGUCGGGAGAGGUUAGAGGUACUACCGGGGUAGGGGUGAAAUCCUAUAAUCCUGGGAGGACCACCUGUGGCGAAGGCGUCUAACUGGAACGAUCUUGACGGUGAGUAACGAAAGCCAGGGGCGCGAACCGGAUUAGAUACCCGGGUAGUCCUGGCCGUAAACGAUGUGGACUUGGUGUU